rnacentral:rRNA from 1 species
UCGAGGGGCAGCAUAACUUAGCUUGCUAAGUUGAUGGCGACCGGCGCACGGGUGAGUAACACGUAUCCACCUGCCGAUGACUCGGGGAUAGCCUUUCGAAAGAAAGAUUAAUACCCGAUGGCUCCGCAUGGUUAAAGAAUUUCGGUCAUCGAUGGGGAUGCGUUCCAUUAGGUUGUUGGCGGGGUAACGGCCCACCAAGCCUUCGAUGGAUAGGGGUUCUGAGAGGAAGGUCCCCCACAUUGGAACUGAGACACGGUCCAAACUCUACGGGAGGCAGCAGUGAGGAAUAUUGGUCAAUGGACGAGAGUCUGAACCAGCCAAGUAGCGUGAAGGAUGACUGCCUAUGGGUUGUAAACUUCUUUUAUACGGGAAUAAGUGAGGCACGUGUGCCUUUUUGUAUGUACCGUAUGAAUAAGGAUCGGCUAACUCCGUGCCAGCAGCCGCGGUAAUACGGAGGAUCCGAGCGUUAUCCGGAUUUAUUGGGUUUAAAGGGAGCGUAGGCGGACGCUUAAGUCAGUUGUGAAAGUUUGCGGCUCAACCGUAAAAUUGCAGUUGAUACUGGGUGUCUUGAGUA